rnacentral:rRNA from 1 species
UCCUACGGGAGGCAGCAGUGGGGAAUAUUGCACAAUGGGGGGAACCCUGAUGCAGCGACGCCGCGUGAGUGAUUGAAGUAUUUCGGUAUGUAAAGCUCUAUCAGCAGGGAAGAAGAUGACGGUACCUGCAGAAGAAGCCCCGGCUAACUACGUGCCAGCAGCCGCGGUAAUACGUAGGGGGCAAGCGUUAUCCGGAUUUACUGGGUGUAAAGGGAGCGUAGGUGGCAAUGCAAGUCAGAAGUGAAACCCCAGGGCUUAACCUUGGGAUUGCUUUUGAAACUGCGUAGCUAGAGUGCAGGAGGGGUAAGCGGAAUUCCUGGUGUAGCGGUGAAAUGCGUAGAUAUUAGGAAGAACACCGGUGGCGAAGGCGGCUUACUGGACUGUAACUGACACUGAGGCUCGAAAGCGUGGGGAGCAAACAGGAUUAGAUACCCUGGUAGUCC